rnacentral:rRNA from 1 species
UGGGGAAUUUUGGACAAUGGGCGAAAGCCUGAUCCAGCAAUGCCGCGUGUGUGAAGAAGGCCUUCGGGUUGUAAAGCACUUUUGUCCGGAAAGAAAUCCUUGGCUCUAAUACAGUCGGGGGAUGACGGUACCGGAAGAAUAAGCACCGGCUAACUACGUGCCAGCAGCCGCGGUAAUACGUAGGGUGCAAGCGUUAAUCGGAAUUACUGGGCGUAAAGCGUGCGCAGGCGGUUUUGUAAGACGGAUGUGAAAUCCCCGGGCUUAACCUGGGAACUGCAUUCGUGACUGCAAGGCUAGAGUAUGGCAGAGGGGGGUAGAAUUCCACGUGUAGCAGUGAAAUGCGUAGAGAUGUGGAGGAAUACCGAUGGCGAAGGCAGCCCCCUGGGCCAAUACUGACGCUCAUGCACG